AUGCCGGUGCUCCUCUUCAUCUUUCCCGACCUGCAAGGACGUAAGCAUCCAGUACGGGACUGCACCAGCAUCGGUGGCGGUGUCCAGGGCGCCAGCUCGUCAUUGUCCACACCACACUGGAGCAGACACGCCUCUGUACAGCUCUCACGCCCGAAAAGUUCAAGAUCAUACGACGAUGCUGUUGUUUUCGACCUCCAAGGACGCGUGCCGGCAUCCGGGUACGCAAGCAACCAAUACAACCACGACAUGGUGCAGUCGGCCUUCUCUGAUGAGCUUCCGCCCUUGCACCAACAGCAGCACCGCGCUGGCUGCUGCAACAUUGAGUUCAACAGCGGUGCUAGCUCACUCGUUGGAGUAGAUCUUCAAGCCGGAAAGAGCUAUGCUCCCCAAAUUUACUCGGAGAAGGGAGCUGGGUGUUGCUAA
rnacentral:rRNA from 1 species